ensembl:lncRNA
CUUUGCUCUGAGGCGUGGGGGCAAAAUAUCGACAAGUCCGUGAACAUCAUUUACAGAUAUAUUGGGUAAAUGACCAAGACAUCUAUAGAAAUGUAAAUCGACGCUUAAUUCAUUCAUUUGGUUAACUUCUUUUGGACAUUAAACAGGGCGCGAAUAGGACACCGGAAACAAAGCUCCACACAGGAUUUUCCGCACCGGAACUAGCAUAUGCUAACGUGCACAUAGUCAAUUCUCCAAGUAAAAAAAAAUACCAGGAUCCACAAAUGUCAUGUGACAACUUAAUUGGCUUACGGAUGUUGACGUCACAUAUAUUUUGAAUCUUACGACAAAUUUGGUCCUUUGAUGCUUUAAUCCUUUGAUCCGUAAAAAUCCAUAAAUAGGGGUGAAAAGCAAUGACUUUUACUUCGUUAAUCGCAGCAUUUAUGUUUGCAGAAUUGAAACACCUGGAACCUUUUCGGAGUAACUGUUUACAGAUUCCAACAUGUCUCAGAGGAAACAACCCUACAGAUUUCUAAGGGAAGUUUUCUUGUUUUUUUUCUCUUUUUCACUAACAGAAAAACGACUCACACAGGAUCACCUCUGCAGUGCUGCCGUCUCCUGUAACGCUGCAUGGUUCUAAGCUACGUUUUCUUUCUUUCUUUUUUUUUGUUCUUGUAGUUUUUGUCCUCAGGUGAGGUUUGAAGUGUCUGUGUUGUGCAGCUGGUCUGGUCUGUCUCUAGACAGUCCAGGCUGCACCCAUCAGUAAAUGGUGGAGGCUCACAAGGACAACACACAAGUUUCUGAACAACUCUGCGGGAGGGUUUCUCCGACGAAGUGAAGGCCGUGAGGCACAGCUCCCCGUCCCCCAGUGACCCUGCUAGGUCCACCUUCUUAGGGAAACCCUCUGCAGAGGAGCUGAGAGAGCCAGGAACUUAUAAGUUGUGUUUGUCCACUCAGGCAUCAUUCAAACUUGCUCUGCAGGCAGUUCCUGUCAGAAGGAAGAGGCACAGCAGGUGCGCCGGGGGGCGGAAGACGGUGCCUCAGUGCCUCUCUCCUUCUGACAUUGUUAAAAAAAAACCCAACAAAUUUAUAAUUAUUUAUAUUUUUAUAUGUAGGUAAUGUCCUCAAGUUCUUGAUAACCACUUUUUCCUCUCUCUCUGUUUGUGUGUAUUGUUUUGUCUCUUUCAAACAGGUGCCGGUCCUCACCUCUGCAGUGCUGCUGUCUCCUGUAACGCUGCAUGGUCCUAAGCUACGUUUUCUUUCUUUUUUUUUUUGUUCUUGUAAUUUUUGUCCUCAGGUGAGGUUUGAAGUGUCUGUGUUGUGCAGCUGGUCUGGUCUGUCUC